GCAACCUACCUAUGACUGGGGGAUAGCCCGGGGAAACCCGGAUUAAUACCGCAUAACACAAUGGAGUCUCAUGGUUUUAUUGUUAAAGAUUUAUUGGUUGAAGAUGGGCAUGCGUUCGAUUAGCUAGUUGGCGGGGUAACGGCCCACCAAGGCGACGAUCGAUAGGGGAGCUGAGAGGUUGAUCC
rnacentral:rRNA from 1 species